UCCCCGUUUGGACGAGGCAGUCUGUCCAGAGUGCUCCUAACUCUCGUUAGGGUCGCAACAGGACACAAGGGUUGCGCUCGUUGCGGGACUUAACCCAACAUCUCACGACACGAGCUGACGACAGCCAUGCAGCACCUGUGCAAGCUCCCCUUGCGGGGUCAUCACCCUUUCAGGCUUUUACCACUUGCAUGUCAAGGCCAGGUAAGGUUCUUCGCGUUGCAUCGAAUUAAGCCACAUACUCCACCGCUUGUGCAGGCCCCCGUCAAUUUCUUUGAGUUUUAAUCUUGCGACCGUACUUCCCAGGCGGCACGUUUAUCGCGUUAGCUUCGCCACGGACGGGGUCGAUUCCGCCCACAGCAAACGUGCACCGUUUACGGCUAGGACUAC
rnacentral:misc_RNA from 1 species